GGCGACUGAGAGAUUGGCGUUCGCGAGGCUCCGUAGCGGGAGGUUGACAGAACCGGGCUCGAGUGGAGUCUGGACCAGUGGCUGUGGCUGGGACACGGCCCAGCGGCUGCGCCUCCGAAGAGAAUGGACAGGCCGACACCAGAGAAGUAGAGAUCCCCUCCUCUGACUCCUUUCUUCCAAGCUGUGCCAAAGGUCAGACUUGGCAGCGUUGAGGAGGGAGAGGAAGAGAGUGAUCAUUCUGAGGAAAACCAUUCUCUACUAAUGGAGAAGGAUGAGCCUGAUGGACAGAAUUCAAAUGAGCUGGACAAUGCUGUGAAGGAGCUGCAAGCAGCCCCCAGAGCCUUGAGAUGGCACCAAAAACCAAGAAGGGAUUGAAAGGCUCCAUUGAUGAUGUCCUUGGUGACCUCCUGGGGGAUGAGACAACACCUGAGAAGCCUGUUAAACUAACUUCACGUGCCAGAGACACCUCAGCUGUCGCUCAGGCCCUCCCUCCUUCGAGGGCGAGGACAAAGUCCCUCCUGGAAGACGAUGGCUUUAGCACGAGGGCAGGCCUGGCAGGAGCUGAUGCUGAGGUUUCGGACAUCUCAGAUGCAGACCCGCAGGCUCUGCUCCAGGCCAUGAAGGAUCUAGAUGAAAUGGAUGCUGAUCUCUUAGGUCUGAAGAAGUCUAAUCUAGCCUCAGACAAAAGGUCUGCCAAGGGUUCUGAGAAAGAAGAGCAGCCUAGUAAUCUUAAACCUGCUGGUAUGUUAACGGCCAAUGAGAAAGGAGACGCCAUUCCCACCAAGAAGCUACCUCUCUCUCCCACCAGCUUUGGGCAUCACAGGAAGUUCUCCUUUGAAGACUUGGAAGACCCAUUGGCAGGACUUCUCUCCGAUGACGAGGAAGGAAUCUCCAAGAAGCCACCAGGGAUGGAGAGCAAAACAGCUUUGGAAAAGAGCGCAGCCCCGGUCAGAGAUCAAGGUCCCUCUCUGCCUGUAACUCCUGGGGACACCCCAGUCCGAAAGAAAGAACUGCUCUUUGACGAUGAGGAUGACAUCAUGGCCACCCUGGGGUUUGGAGACCGCCCCCGAGCAGAGAGGAGGCCAACGGGAGACCAGGCAGCGCCCCUCCCCGCUCGCUCCAAGCUGGAUGAGCUGCUGGGUCGGGGCACUGCCGCCAAACUCCUGGCCCACCCGGGCAGCGGGGAGCGCAGGGAGUUCAAGCUGGACAAGAAGUACCAGAGGCCACAGGACAAAGAAGAAACCUGGGAUGACGAGGACUUCACCUUCAGAGCCUAUCAGCCCACUGUGGGCCCCGAGGGCCGGCAGUCCCGCCGGCAGUCGGUCAGUAGGUUCUUAGAAGGCAGCACAGACCCCAAGGGAGAACCGGGCUCCAGACAGAGCAGCCCAGCGGCGUCCAGCCCCAUCCAGCCCAGGAGGGGAGGCGCCGAUUGGCUGGGCCUCAAGGACGACAUCUCGGACCCACUCCCUCCCUCCCCAGCCAGGGAGGCUCAGAGGGGACCCCCUCCCGUGAGCCAGCUUUCUGCCCCAGGCUGCCACUCAGGCCCGGCCAGGCUGCCUUCCUUCUCGGGGGCAAAGCCACCAACCGAGGGUGCAGGUUCCCCGGCCAAAGCCAGCCAGGCUUCCCAGCCAGGACCAUCUGAGGAAAAGGAGGAGGAGGACUGGCUGAGCCAUGCCCUGUCUCGGAAGAAGUCCCAAGGUCUGGCCAGAGAGGAGCGCACUGCGGCCCCUAAGGGCCAGAACUCCAUGGGGGUAGUGGGCCAGCCGCCUACUGGCAGCCUGCCUGUCGCCAGCCCGCAAGGGCUCAAGCCAGCAGCUACCGCAGGGCCCUCAGAAACAGGAGCACCAAAGCCGCCUGCCAGGUCUGCCACCUCAGGGUCCCGCGUAACUAGGAACCAGGCCGCCUUGGCCCUCCAUGCAGGUGACUCAAAGAGGGGAACAGCCCCUGGAGACCACUCUGGCACCGAGCCUGUGAUUUGUUUCCUGAACUCCCAGGAGCCCCCAGAGCUUUCUGUGCCUGUCCAGUCCCUGCUCCCGGAGUCCCUGGCCCAGAGCCUGCUGCCAAGCACACAAUACCAGAUGCAGCUCCUGGCGGCACAGGCACAGCUUCAGGGUGGCACCGCCGAGCUCCAGGCUGACCUUCUGCAGAGUCAGGCCCGGCUGGCAGAGCUGGAGGCCCAGGUGCGGAAGCUGGAGCUGGAGCGGGCCCAGCACAAGCUGCUGCUGGAGAGUUUGCAGCAGCGGCACCAGGCUGACCUGGAGCUCAUCGAGAGUGCUCACAGAAGCCGCGUCAAAGUGCUAGAAGCAUCGUACCAGCAAAGGGAAGAGAGGCUGCGGAGAGAGAACGAGGAGCUGUCCGCCCAGUACCUGUCGCGCUGCCAGGAAGCCGAGCAGGCCCGCGCCGAGCUCACUGCCCAGCACCAGCGGCGCUUGGCCGCUGCCACGCAGGAGAAGGACCAGGAGAUGGAGCGGCUCCGGGAACUGCAGCGGGCCUCCAUCCUGGAGAUGCGCAAGGACCAUGAGGAGCAGCUGCAGCGGCUGAAACUGCUAAAGGACCGGGAGAUUGAUGCCGUCACCAGCGCCACCUCCCACACGCGGUCCCUGAAUGGCAUCAUUGAGCAGAUGGAGAAGUUCUCCAGCAGCCUGCACGAGCUGUCCUCCCGCGUGGAGGCCUCACACCUCAGCACCACCCAGGAGUGGGAGCUGGGGAUCCGGCAGCGGGACGAGCAGCUCCGAGUGCUGCAGGAGAGGCUGGGCCGGCAGCAGCGGGACAUGGAGGAAGAGCGGAACCGGCUCCAGGAGGUCAUCGGGAAGAUGGAGGCACGCCUGAGUGAGCAGAGCCGGCUGCUGGAGCAGGAACGCUGGCGGGUGAGUGCGGAGCAGUCUAAGGCAGAGUCCGCGCAGCGCACUCUAGAGGAGCAGAGGAAGGUCAUGGUCCAGCAGAUCACCAUGGAGCGGGAGGAGCUGGAGAGAGCCAAGAGUGCCUUGCUGGAGGAGCAGCAGUCCGUCAUGCACAAGUGUGGGGAGGAGCGGCGGCGCCUGGCGGCCGAGUGGGCCGAGUUCUUUACACAGCAGAAGUUGAGUAAGGAGCGGGCGGAGCGAGAGGCAGAGCGGGCGCUGAAGGUGGACACCCAGCGGGAGGGCACCCUCAUCAGCCUGGCCAAGGAGCAGGCAGAGCUGAAGAUCAGGGCAAGUGAGCUCCGGGUCAAGGAGGAUCAGCUGGUGGCCGAGAGGGAGGCUCUGGAGCGGGAGCGGCAGGAGCUGCGGCUGGAGAAGGAUAGGGUCAGUGCCGCCGCCCAGCGCAUCAGGCUGCGUGCUGAGGAGGUGGAGAGCAUGAGCCAGGUGGCCUCAGAGAAGUACGAGGAGGGGCAGCGGGCACUGCGCGAGGCCCGGCAGGUGCAGUCAGAGCAGCAGGCCCGGCUGCAGCUGGUGCAGCAGCAGCAGGAGAGGCUCCGGCAGCAAGAGCAGCACGUGAAUCAGGAGCACCUGAGCCUGGCCCAGCAGCGGCUGCAGCUGGAUCAUGUCCGACAGGACCUGCUCUCUGGCCCUGUGGCGCUGCUCUCCAGGGCCCAGGGCCUGGCACCCUCUGGCCUGAGUGCCGUCGUGGCUCCUGCUCCCACCACGCCUCGGUGCAGCCAGCCGCUGGCCGGCCUGGGCCCCUCGCACCUCCACGCCAAGCUGGUGCUACUGAAACACACAGCUGCGCAGGGAGCAUGUCCUAUGUGCCAGGCUCUGUGCUGAAAGUUUAUGUUCCUUGUAAGCGCUUGCCCUCCCACAGCACUCCAAGGCAGGACCAUGACUUCUUGGAGAAUGAACAGUUCUUCCUGGAGACCCUGAAGAAAGCCUCUGACAACAUGGCAUCCCAUUCAGCCUGAAGGGCCCACCGCCGCCUCAGCAGAGGCCUCAGACCCUGGAACUCUCCCACUGCCCACUGGCUGCCAGCCCCGAGGAAGGAUCCCCAGGAAAACUCUGCAAUGCCCAGGGCCUGAUUACAGCUCUCCCUGUGGAAGGGGUGCAGGCGCCUUCUUCCUUAGCGCUCCACCCCGUGGGUAAGGCCCUGUGCCUCUCGGACUCCAGGGGCAGCAGCUUCUGGGGAGACGCGAUACUGAGGGCAUCCCAGCCCCACGACACUGUCAGCCCCAGCUUUGGUUCUCCUGCCCCGCACGCUCCCAGCUACGGUCCCGGGGUCUGACGGGCGCUGUGGGCCCCUCAGCUCCUCAGCCUGUGGGUGGUUCGGGGAUCUUUUCCCCUGGGCCUCUUCUGAGGCAGGGGGUCUUCUGGAACCCCUUCCCACAAGGAAUCUCCCACCCUUCCUGCCUGAGAGGCCAGCAGAGAGAGCAUGGGGUCUUCUCCCUAAUGGGGACAGAAGAGUCAGGCCACCCAUUUUAAAGGGCCUUCCGGCCUCCUGGCCAAGGGGGUAGGCAGCCAUGCAGGGGCGGAGAGGGCUCUGGGCCCGGCCAGCCUUUACCUCCCAGUCUGCUGCGCUCUUGGGCCUCAGCCAGCCCUGCCUGCUGUCAGGCCGGCUCCCACAAAGUCCCCGCCUUGUUCCCGGCUGCCGGAGCAACGGACUAGCUCACACAGAUACUGGCCUCAUGGCUUCUUGGAAUACGCUCCCCAGAGGCAGGAGGGGGGGCUGUGGGUGAUGGUGGGGUGUGGGGAAGGACAGAAGGCUUCUCUCUGUGCUGUUCACUUGUCACAAAACCACAUCCGGGUGGGAAUGAAGAUGAUGGCAGCGCCAGACCGCUGCCUGGGAGGAGACAGCACCCUGGGGACGGGAGGGGCUGCUGCCCUGUGUCAGAGUCUGGGGGGCUCUGCCCUUCUCCACUUGUGGGCAGUGGGCCAAGGCCAGUCGGAGGGGCACCAGGAAAGGGUUGGGAGAGUUGGUGGUUGUCCCCUGCAAACCCAAGGACUCAACUAAUAAAAUCACAACUAAUCUA